rnacentral:rRNA from 1 species
CAUGCUAGACGAGUUUGAUCAUGGCUUAGAACGAACGCUGGCGGCAGGCCUAACACAUGCAAGUCGAACGCUGUAGCAAUACAGAGUGGCAGACGGGUGAGUAACACGUGGGAACGUACCCUUCGGUUCGGAAUAACUCAGGGAAACUUGAGCUAAUACCGGAUACGUCCGAGAGGAGAAAGAUUUAUCGCCGAAGGAUCGGCCCGCGUCUGAUUAGCUUGUUGGUGAGGUAACGGCUCACCAAGGCGACGAUCAGUAGCUGGUCUGAGAGGAUGAUCAGCCACAUUGGGACUGAGACACGGCCCAAACUCCUACGGGAGGCAGCAGUGGGGAAUAUUGGACAAUGGGCGCAAGCCUGAUCCAGCCAUGCCGCGUGAGUGAUGAAGGCCCUAGGGUUGUAAAGCUCUUUUACUCGGGAAGAAACCGGCCGGGUUAAUACCCUGGUUGAAUGACGGUACCCAAAGAAUAAGCACCGGCUAACUUCGUG